rnacentral:misc_RNA from 1 species
CGGCAAUGCCGCGGUAGAGGCCGGAGGCGCCCUCGGAGCGGAGGAUGGAGGCGGCGAAGCGACCGAGGACGGCGUGGUGGGGGGAGGAGGCAGCGAGCAUCUGCAUGCGGGUUUUGAGGGUAUCGACGGGGAACAUGGCCAUGUGCUCGACCAUGCCGGCAACGGAGCCGGCGGCCAUGACGCGCCAGAAGCCGAGGACGGAGAUCUCGAGCUCGGCGG